UAUAGGGUUGUAUAUGUAUGUCUUUACGUUGUUUUGUGUGUAAUCGUGUGCGCGUAUUUGUAUGGCACGAAUGGAAGUACGGUCAGAGCGGAAGUGCACGUGCGAAAGGUCGGUUAGCGUCACUACAGGUAAGCUAUGCCGUGAGUAAUGGCUGUAGUGUAACCACCUGUAGUCAGAAUCCUUUUGAUCAUGGAUACAGGCACGGAAUACAGACUGUGCUUUCCAUGACGGAGUAAAGUUCCUUGGACAACAGGACACCGGGCAAUCACCACGACUUCGGCAUCAGGACCGGUAGAAAUCUCCGGUCAGCCUCAGGAGGUCUGAUGUGAUAAACAGACGGGUCAAAGAGCCAAGGAUGAUAAGGAAUGGUGGUCCGUACUACGGCCACUAGAUCAUGAAGCGGUGACGUCUAACGCUGUUGACGGUAUGACGUUAUAGCCAGCUAGCUCUCAUACUUUACCUGCGGGAAAGUAUUGUUGGGACUCAUAGUGAGUCAUCCCUGUGGGAGGUGCGUGACAUACGAGGGAUAUACCUGAACUGCGGUUCAGUUACUCAUGUGUUUCUGUUUCUUGAGUGGAGAACUUGUGCCUUUAAUGUGUACUUAUACCGGUAUUGUGCUGUUCUGUGUCGACGACUCCGUGACUUUAACCGUAAUUGAAUGUCAGAGUGUGCAAGGGGUGUGAAUGUGCGUUUGUAUGAAUAUAUCUAUUUGCUUUUGUACAUAAUAGUUAAUAAAUAUUGUUUUGUAUAAUCUA